CUCAUGCAGGUAUCUUUAAUAUGCCUUGGUGCCUGACUAUCCAUACAGCAAAAAUAUGGGAAAACUUUUUCCCUGCAGACCAGAAAACCCCUGACGGUUGCUGUCUGCUGGGACCAGGACCUGGAGCCUGUGAUCAGACUGAGCUGGACCUGAGUAGAUGUUGGGCCUGGUGGAACCUGGUGUGGAAGACACCUCUCAUCUCAAAGCUUGGUCUUGAAAGGUGCUGAGUUCAGUGGGAAUCGAGCCCUUUAGGAAGACAGUAAGAGCACAGCAACACUUGAAUAAACAUGAAAUGUCCCUGGGAAGAGCCCUCCAGAAGCUACUGCCAAGUGACAGACGGAUGAGUUGAAAGGUUGCAACAAGGGAGAAGAACAGAAGGGCAUGUUCAUUAAUGCAAAAUACAAGGAGAGAGCAGGGAGAGCAAGUCCUUGAGGAGGCAGAAGCAAGACUUGACACUUUCUUAGCAACUGAGUGCUACCACCAGGAAAAAUGGCAGUACAAUAAUUGUGCUUGCGGCUGUGCUGAGAACUUUUUGGUGUGGUCUGUAAGCCAGAGCUGUGGAAUGUCUCCCCUCCCUCCUCCCAUCCCUUCCUCUCUCUCUAAAUGAGGUAUGGCUGAAGACACCCCUGCUUUGUGAGAACCAGUAAAAUGUGUUCUUUCAAACCACCUGCAAAGUUUUGAAAUAAACAAAGGGAAGGAGAACA
rnacentral:lncRNA from 1 species